rnacentral:rRNA from 1 species
GGCCAGACUCCUACGGGAGGCAGCAGUGGGGAAUAUUGCACAAUGGGGGAAACCCUGAUGCAGCGACGCCGCGUGAGUGAAGAAGUAUUUCGGUAUGUAAAGCUCUAUCAGCAGGGAAGAAAUAGCGACCUUUGGGUCGCCAGACGGUACCUGAUUAAGAAGCCCCGGCUAACUACGUGCCAGCAGCCGCGGUAAUACGUAGGGGGCAAGCGUUAUCCGGAUUUACUGGGUGUAAAGGGAGCGUAGACGGCAGCGCAAGUCUGAAGUGAAAUGCCGGGGCUUAACCCCGGAACUGCUCUGGAAACUGUGCGGCUAGAGUACUGGAGGGGCAGGCGGAAUUCCUAGUGUAGCGGUGAAAUGCGUAGAUAUUAGGAGGAACACCAGUGGCGAAGGCGGCCUGCUGGACAGUAACUGACGUUGAGGCUCGAAAGCGUGGGGAGCAAACAGGAUUAGAUACCCCUGUACA